UUUAACAAAAACAUGUCUUUUUGGGUUAAAUUUAAGGUCGGGCCUGCCCACUGAUAUUAUUUGAAGGGCCGCGGUAUUUUGACCGUGCAAAGGUAGCAUAAUCAUUAGUCUUUUAAUUGAGGGCUGGAAUGAAUGGUUUGACGAAAUAUUAACUGUCUCUUUAUGAUAAGUAGAAUUUAACUUCUAAGUCAAAAGGCUUAGAUGAAUAUAAAAGACGAGAAGACCCUAUAGAUCUUUAUAUAAUUAGUGUAUUUAUUAAUUUAGUUGUGUUAAUUAUGGUUAUGCUAUUAUAUUUUGUUGGGGUGACAUGAAGAUAAAAAUAACUCUUUAUAAUGGAAACAUUGAUUUAUGGUUGAUUGAUCCGUUAUUAACGAUUAUAAGAUAAAGUUACCUUAGGGAUAACAGCGUAAUUUUUUUUAAGAGUUCUUAUCGACAAGAAAGAUUGCGACCUCGA
rnacentral:rRNA from 1 species